UGUUACACUUUUCAGUAAAGAGGGAUGGAAAAACCUUAAUGAAGGGAUAUAAUCAGGUGCUAGGGUGUAGCACAGCAGUGGGGCAUUUGUCUAACACGCAGGAGGUACAAGAAAAUAAUUACAUUUUUGCUUUAAAAGCCAGUCCCCGACCUCUCAGUCUUCGGUCCAAGGCCAUUUAUACAACCCAAACUACAUAUGCAUUUCAAGUUUUCUGGCAGCUACAUCAACAACAAAUAACAGCCGAAAAAUUGUUGAAAGUAUUUAUAAAGGCUGUCAAACAUUUUUGAGCGAAAAAAAUGUAGAUGUUGUAUUUUAUUAGGAGAAAGAAAUAAGGUAAUAAAUCCAUAGAAAAGUAAAUAGAAAUGAGGAAAGUUUUAACAAUAUAUUCUAUUCAACCCUAUGUCUCCACGGUAUCAUUCAACAUGUAAUCAAUGUAAAGAGUCGUAUUUUCGCGCCGCGUCUUCGGAGUCCUGUAUUUCCCGCGCGAAGCGCCGCUCGGUCUCCCGGGAACGGCCGCCUCUCGGGCGCCCGAGGGUCCUAAGCGGCCAGACGCAUCCUCCAGCUUCGGUGCUCGCCCUUCCGCAGGGGAUGCGCGCCUGACGCCCUCGGCCUUGCUCCACGUCACCGCGCGGCUGCGUCUCUGGACGGCUGGGGCCCGCAGAGCGUGGAGCUCUGAGUGGCCGGACCGCCCGGGAAGCCGCUAGAACAAAGGACGCAGGACACCCGCGCUUCUGGGGGCGCAGCCUACAGACGAGCAGCCCUAUGUCGCCCUUUGACGCCGUCACGCCGCGGGCGGAGGCGGGACUUCCGGGCGGGCGGAGGAACAACUUCCGGAGGGAGGCGGAAGAGGCUCUGAGGUCUCCGCUCUGGAGUCCUGGGAUCGCCGAGGGGCCACCGGAAAGGGUAGCUGGGGCUCGCCGGCCGCACUCGGGGUGUCGGAGCCUCGGUCUGAGGGAUGAGGAGCUGCCAUGGCCAGUGACGGGGCCAGGAAGCAGUUCUGGAAGCGCAGCACCAGCAAGGUCCCGGGCAGCAUCCAGCAUGUGUAUGGAGCCCAGCACCCCCCUUUUGAUCCACUGUUGCACAGCACUUUGCUCAAGUCCACACCCAAGGUGCCGACCACCCCAGUGAAGGCCAAGAGGGUCAGCACCUUCCAGGAGUUUGAGAGCAACACCAGCGAUGCAUGGGACGCGGGGGAGGAUGACGAUGAGCUCCUGGCCAUGGCAGCCCAGAGCCUGAACACCGAGGUGGUCAUGGAGACAGCCCACCGCGUCCUGCGGAACCACAGCCAGCAGCAGGGCCGGCCUGCACCACAGCAGGUGCCUACGCCUGAGCCGGAGCUGCAGCCUGUGGCAGAACCACCACCAGCCCUGAUUGGUGACCUCCGGCUGGUGAAGUCAGUCAGUGAGAGCCACACAUCCUGUGCUGCAGAAAGCGCCAGUGACCCGGUCCCUCUGCAGAGGUCCCAGUCUCUCCCCCACUCAGCCACCGUUACGCUGGGUGGGAUGCCCGAGCCCAGCACCCUGGGAAGCUCAGCGCUGAGUGAGAGAGAGGCCUCUCGGCUCGACAAGUUCAAGCAGCUGCUUGCCGAACCCAACACCGACCUUGGUGAGUCCUGCGCAGUGGGACUGGCGCGCAGUGCAUGUGUGUCCCUGUGGGUCCCCUUGGAGGAAGUUGCUGUGCUAUGCUUUCAUGCUGGAAAGUCCCCGAGCUACCAGAUGUCUGGCCAGUUCCUCUAGACAUGCCUCUGUUGUCAUUCCACAGCUUGUUUUCUGUUCCUCUUUCCUUGGUGCCCCCAUUUCCUGCUGCUGUUCUCAGUGUGCCCUGCCAGACUGGCCAGGUGGCCUCCUACUUCUCCAGAGGCUGAUGAAGACAGAGGCUCACAAUGGGACACGCUGGUCCAGAGGCAGGGGGACAGACUUCGAGAGGAUAGGCACCAGCCCGAGUCUUCCUGGGGAGCUGGGUGAGGCCCAUAGGACCUUGGCGGAGUCUGCCUAGAUUCCGAGGCACCUGCCUGCUUGCCAGCCUCUCUGUCGGAAUUCCCACCGAGUACAGCUCCCUUCUGUCACUUACACGGGUCAUCUUCGUUGAGGCCACUGUGCUAGGCAGAGGAGUGGGCUUGGCCAUGAGAUCACUCACAGUUGGGGGACAAAUAUUGGAAGAGACAGCUACUGGUGGUGCCAGAGUGGCGCUCUGAGGGCCCGAGCACUGGGCAUGCAGUGCCUGUUUUGGCCAGGAGGUGGCGGGUGGGGCACGUGGAUGGGCUGCCGGACGGAGCCCUGUGCCUGGGAAGCUGUGCGGCAGAGGGCGGAGCAGGGCGACUCCUUCCAGAAUGGCUGUGCUCAGUUUCAGACGCUGCGGUCUCUCACCUUUUCAGCCUGCAGUAGAGCUGCCAGAGCAGUGCAGGCAGCUCCCCUCGGCUUGUGAGCCAGACUCACUGUGGCUUCCAUCUCUGGUCUCCAUCUCUGUGUGUGUUUGUGUGUUUUCCCUGAAGCACUUGAGCGGCCGUUGGAAUUGCCUGUCCCUUUGGUCCAAAACACUUGACUGUGUUUCCUAAGAGUGCAGAUAUUCUUUAGAUAGUCACGGUGGUGUUGCUAAAAUAAAGAAAUGUAGCAGUGACACAGUACUAUCGUAUUGUUUUGCACGGUCACUUUGCCACCUUUCCCAGUGAUGUUCUUUCUCGCUUUUUUUCCAGAGCAGGAUUAUGCAUUCCGUUCAGCUGCCACGUCUCUCAGUCUCCAUUAACCUGGAGCAGCGGUGGUUCGGUCGCUUGCCGCUUUGCCUUUGAUCCUGACAUGUGAGGAGCGCUGGCAGUUGUUCAGUUGCUGUUUGUGUGAUGUGUCCUCGUGAUACGGUCUGCGUUAAUCACUUUUGGCAGGGGUGUCAUGGGGGAGACGUGGGAUCUUCUUGGUCCUGGCAGGAGGUGUGCGCUGUCCAUUUGUCCUAACGCCCUCAUGCUAACUCUGGUCGCUUGGCAGAGCGGUGUGCCAGCUCUUUCCGCGGACAGGCUGCUCUUUCCCCGUGGUAAUUAGAAUUCCUCUGUAAAGAGAGGCUUGGGUGCUUUUAGGCAGUAGAUUUCUUUCUCCUCAUGAGCGGCAGCACUAUUCUUUCUUGAAUUUAACUGUGUGUAUUUUCCCUUGGUUCAUAGGGAAUUGCGUGCUAUUCUAUGGGUGACCUCUAGUUUAUUUCACCCACCCCCUCCCGGUGGGUAUGUAGGUGACUCCUAAUUGUCCUUGUUACGAAACACUUGGGAACUUUCCUUCAGCCAUCUGAGCCCGAUACCAUUCACAGAGAAGCCCUUGGUGUGGUUGUGGGGAGCGGGAAGAAUGCAGGACGACACUUGUGAUUCUCAGGUCAGAACUGGAUAGGAGGGAAAGGCAGAUUAGAGGAGCGUAGUCUCGUGGCUUUCGUACUGACCUUAGCCCCUGGUUGCCUUCUCUGCUGAGGCCAUGUGGGGAGGCAGAACCAUGUAGUGCCCGGGAGAGUAGUUUUCAGAGUUGGUCGCCUUUGGGGAGAUGAUGAGUGAGUGGGUAACUCAUGAUCCUGUGCCUCAGGGCCCUUGCUCAGCUGGGAGAUGUGGUGACCACAGGCUCCAGUUUGCAGCCUGUGAUGAUACUCAUGCAGUGCUCAGGAGGGUGUGGGCUGCUAAUAAACACUCCAAGCGGUGUGUGCUUUUGUUAUUGUUAUUACCAGCAUUUGCAUUGACCAGCUUGCCCUCUACCUUGAUUUUUAUAGUACUGAUAAUUAUAGUAUGGCCACGCCAGUGAUUGGUAAUAGGUCAAGGUAGUUCACAGGUGGGUUCAGUGGCUUCUGGCUGGCUCUGGGCAGGUGGCCGGGAGAGAGCCGAUGGAAAGGGACUGGCUUGCAGGGAGGGUCCUGUUCCCAUCAGGCUCUGAGCACCAGCUUGGAUCUCCUUGUGAACUUCGUCAUUGGGCCAACUUUUGGAAAUUAAAAUCACACUAACAAAUAAACCUCUUAGGACUUGUGGG
rnacentral:lncRNA from 1 species